AACGUAGGGGGCUAGCGUUGUCCGGAAUUACUGGGGUAAAGCGCACGCAGGCGGUCUGGAAAGCGGUGGGUGCAAUCUCGAGGCUCAACCUCGAAACUGCUCGCCGAACUACCAGACUUGAGCACGGGAGAGGACAGUGGAAUUCCCGGUGUAGCGGUGGAAUGCGUAAAUAUCGGGAGGAACACCAGUGGCGAAGGCUGCUGUCUGGAACGUUGCUGACGCUGAGGAGCGAAAGCCAGGGGAGCGAACCGGAUUAGAUACCCGGGUAGUCCCUGA
rnacentral:rRNA from 1 species